AUGCAAGUCGAGCGGUAAGGCCCUUCGGGGUACACGAGCGGCGAACGGGUGAGUAACACGUGGGUGAUCUGCCUCGUACUUCGGGAUAAGCCUGGGAAACUGGGUCUAAUACCGGAUAGGACCUCUUGUCGCAUGGCUUGGGGUGGAAAGAUUUAUCGGUGCGAGAUGGGCCCGCGGCCUAUCAGCUUGUUGGUGGGGUAAUGGCCUACCAAGGCGACGACGGGUAGCCGGCCUGAGAGGGCGACCGGCCACACUGGGACUGAGACACGGCCCAGACUCCUACGGGAGGCAGCAGUGGGGAAUAUUGCACAAUGGGCGGAAGCCUGAUGCAGCGACGCCGCGUGAGGGAUGACGGCCUUCGGGUUGUAAACCUCUUUCGACAGGGACGAAGCGCAAGUGACGGUACCUGUAGAAGAAGCACCGGCCAACUACGUGCCAGCAGCCGCGGUAAUACGUAGGGUGCGAGCGUUGUCCGGAAUUACUGGGCGUAAAGAGCUUGUAGGCGGUUUGUCGCGUCGUCUGUGAAAACUCACAGCUCAACUGUGAGCUUGCAGGCGAUACGGGCAGACUUGAGUACUGCAGGGGAGACUGGAAUUCCUGGUGUAGCGGUGAAAUGCGCAGAUAUCAGGAGGAACACCGGUGGCGAAGGCGGGUCUCUGGGCAGUAACUGACGCUGAGAAGCGAAAGCGUGGGUAGCGAACAGGAUUAGAUACCCUGGUAGUCCACGCCGUAAACGGUGGGCGCUAGGUGUGGGUUUCCUUCCACGGGAUCCGUGCCGUAGCUAACGCAUUAAGCGCCCCGCCUGGGGAGUACGGCCGCAAGGCUAAAACUCAAAGGAAUUGACGGGGGCCCGCACAAGCGGCGGAGCAUGUGGAUUAAUUCGAUGCAACGCGAAGAACCUUACCUGGGUUUGACAUACACCGGAAACCUGCAGAGAUGUAGGCCCCCUUGUGGUCGGUGUACAGGUGGUGCAUGGCUGUCGUCAGCUCGUGUCGUGAGAUGUUGGGUUAAGUCCCGCAACGAGCGCAACCCUUGUCCUGUGUUGCCAGCACGUAAUGGUGGGGACUCGCAGGAGACUGCCGGGGUCAACUCGGAGGAAGGUGGGGACGACGUCAAGUCAUCAUGCCCCUUAUGUCCAGGGCUUCACACAUGCUACAAUGGGCGGUACAGAGGGCUGCGAGACCGUGAGGUGGAGCGAAUCCCUUAAAGCCGUUCUCAGUUCGGAUCGGGGUCUGCAACUCGACCCCGUGAAGUUGGAGUCGCUAGUAAUCGCAGAUCAGCAACGCUGCGGUGAAUACGUUCCCGGGCCUUGUACACACCGCCCGUCACGUCAUGAAAGUCGGUAACACCCGAAGCCGGUGGCCCAACCCC
rnacentral:rRNA from 1 species